rnacentral:rRNA from 1 species
AUUGAACGCUGGCGGCAGGCCUAACACAUGCAAGUCGAACGAGUGGCGGACGGGUGAGUAAUGUCUGGGAAACUGCCCGAUGGAGGGGGAUAACUAAUGGAAACGGUAGCUAAUACCGCAUACCAUCGGAUGUGCCCCGAUGGGAUUAGCUAGUAGGUGGGGGAACGGCUCACCGAGUCGACGAUCCCUAGCUGGUCUGAGAGGAUGACCAGCAACACUGGAACUGAGACAUGGGCCAGACUCCUACGGGAGGCAGCAGUGGGGAAUAUUGCACAAUGGGCGCAAGCCUGAUGCAGCCAGGCCGCGUGUAGGAAGAAGGCCUUCGGGUUGUAGAGUAUGUUCAGCGAGGAGGCGUUACUCGCAGAAGAAGCACCGGCUAACUCCGUGCCAGCAGCCGCGGUAAUUC